GUGCUCGCUUCAGCAACGCAUAUAAUAAGACUGGAACUGUACAGAGAAGAUUAGCAUGGAACCUGCACAAGAAUAACACACAAAUUUGUGAAGAGUUCCAUAGUUUU
ensembl:snRNA U6 U6 spliceosomal RNA